CACAUACAACACAAACGAUUCUUUUCAAACGUGAUGGAUACUUGAUUUUCCAGAGUAGUUUUCACAAUAAUCGUUUUUAAAUAUAUAAGAACCAUGAUGCGCUGACUUUGAUUAAGUAUUUUUGAUGACUUGAAUUAUUACACUCCCUUUUUCUGAUCGUGCCACUCAUCCUCUCUUUCGUUUAAAAUUCAGCUGUUGUUUAGAGUUUAUUUCAUUUUAUUUACGUCAUAUCAAUUCUGUAAGUGACCAAUACAUGCUGAUGAUUUUUUUGAACGAUUGAUAGCGGCUAUCAGACAUCUUGUAAUAUCAUUGAUCAUGGCGUGAUAAACUCUGCUUGUAUAAAAUCCUGGAUCAUUUUCCAUUCUUUACCCACGGACAGCGUGUCGCGCUUUUACAGUCUGCUUUAACAUGCUUUAAAUCUUACUUAUUGGUGAUUGUUAUGAUGUGUUAAUAUUUAUAGCCGUGAAAUAUUUUUCUCAUCGUGAUGUGAUUGUUGCCUCUAAUGAAAAUCAAAGGCUCGAUGAAGCAUGGCCUACUGAUGAUGCAUUAAAAUUGCUGGAUCUUUACGAGCUGCUUGGGGGCAUUGAAUCUCUCGUUCGCGGAGACCACUGCGCGGCGCCCGCUUUGGGUGCUAUCCAGCACGGUUGUCUAACAUGCCUUUUUAUUUUAAGGGGCCAAUCGAUUUGAAAUAUUCGUUGUAGCGAUUUAUCUCUGGUACUUUAUCCUUAAAAGAGAGGAGUCCCUUACUAUUAAGGAGGAAAUAAUACCGGAACAAAAUGGUUGUCAACAUCCACGGGUCAUUCAACAAUGCUUAUUAUGAACAUGAUGAGAAACGGGAGAUUGUACCACCCAGGAACCACCUUUUUCCUGGUCGUUGAUUAUUCAGUUCACUUUUGGCCUUUCUAUGACCACCGCGAUUAACACUGCCUCUCACGUUUUUUCUUUUAUCAUUUACUUGUAAAUGAUGAAUCUAAACGCUACCCACCCACAUUGAAAAUACCAAACCUUUGUAGCGAAUAUUCAUUGUAUUAAACUCGAGUAUCUCUUGUUCAAUUGUUACUUACCUUUUGAUGAUUUAUCCAAUUGUGUGAAAUUAUCAGACGAAAUAUUUGAUGCCAUGGAAGGAAGAUCACACCCUUCUCCAUUUUCCUCAGUCAGACAUUUGAUGCGAAAUUUUUCGGCAACUUUGAGAAAAGCCUUUAUACGGUUAGAGUCGAUGUCAGCUUUACCUUGGUACAUGAAGUCCAGUAUUGAUCGCAUCUCACUAAAUGAAAUAUCAUACAGCACAACGAGA